AUACGGAGGAUGCAAGCGUUAUCCGGAUUUAUUGGGUUUAAAGGGUGCGUAGGCGGGACUGUAAGUCAGGGGUGAAAUACUGCAGCUUAACUGUAGCAUUGCCUUUGAAACUGCCGUUCUUGAGUAUAGUUGAAGUAGGCGGAAUGCGUGGUGUAGCGGUGAAAUGCAUAGAUAUCACGCAGAACUCCGAUUGCGAAGGCAGCUUACUAAGUUAUAACUGACACUGAAGCACGAAAGCGUGGGUAUCAAACAGGAUUAGAUACCCUGGUAGUCCACGCAGUAAACGAUGAUUACUAGCUGUUUGCGAUACACUGUAAGCGGCCAAGCGAAAGCGUUAAGUAUUCCACCUGGGGAGUACGCCGGCAACGGUGAAACUCAAAGGAAUUGGCGGGG
rnacentral:rRNA from 1 species